GCCCAGGUGGCGGAAUUGGUAUACGCGCUAGUUUCAGGUACUAGUGGGAGCAAUCUCGUGGAGGUUCAAGUCCUCUCCUGGGCA
rnacentral:tRNA from 2 species